CAGCCGCCACGGUAAUACAGAGGGUGCGAGCGUUAAUCGGAUUUACUGGGCGUAAAGCGUGCGUAGGCGGCUUCUUAAGUCGGAUGUGAAAUCCCUGAGCUUAACUUAGGAAUUGCAUUCGAUACUGGGAAGCUAGAGUAUGGGAGAGGAUGGUAGAAUUCCAGGUGUAGCGGUGAAAUGCGUAGAGAUCUGGAGGAAUACCGAUGGCGAAGGCAGCCAUCUGGCCUAAUACUGACGCUGAGGUACGAAAGCAUGGGGAGCAAACAGGAUUAGAUACCCCAGUAGUCCCUGUCUCUUAUAC
rnacentral:rRNA from 1 species